rfam:Gaeumannomyces graminis var. tritici R3-111a-1 unplaced genomic scaffold supercont2.4, whole genome shotgun sequence.
ACAUACGACCAUACCCACUGGAAUAUACGGGAUCCCGUCCGCUCUCCCCUAGUCAAACCAGUGAGGGCCGAACUAGUACUCAGGUGGGUGACCACUGGGGAAUCCUCGGUGUUGUAUGNN